GAACUGAAGAGUUUGAUCAUGGCUCAGAUUGAACGCUGGCGGCAGGCCUAACACAUGCAAGUCGAGCGGUAGAGAGAAGCUUGCUUCUCUUGAGAGCGGCGGACGGGUGAGUAAUGCCUAGGAAUCUGCCUGGUAGUGGGGGAUAACGUCCGGAAACGGACGCUAAUACCGCAUACGUCCUACGGGAGAAAGCAGGGGACCUUCGGGCCUUGCGCUAUCAGAUGAGCCUAGGUCGGAUUAGCUAGUUGGUGAGGUA
rnacentral:rRNA from 1 species